ensembl:lncRNA
GAAAACAUGAUCCCAAAAGGAUCUGCAGACUAUAUUCAACAUUGUAUUUCCUAAGAACAUCAUGGGGAUAGGAAAACGCGGGUGAAGGCCACUGGCUACUGUACAGCUGGUCACAAUUCUUUUUCUGUUGUUCAGCAGGGGAUAGUGACACCUGCACACUCCUAUUGUAUUUAUCUUGUAAGGAGAAUACAGAGCUUAUUCAUCUGUUUUGCUCUUAUAGAGGUAAUAUUUUUUUUCCAGACUGUGGCAAACCUACAGAACAGAGACAAUUGUACAAGUUUUCUAACUAUUUUGCACAUUCUCCAGAGCAGCCUUGGUGUGAAAGACAGCACUCAAUAGCAAUUAUAUGGGCUGAGUGAAAAGCUGGCACCACAGGGGUCAGAAGAGAAAGAAACAAAAUCCAUUGACCAUUGUUCUCACAGGAAGGCUGACAUGCAGCCAAAUAUUGGAUGAGAUGUUGGAGACCAUGGAAUCUGGCACACAAAGAAAGGAGAUGGUCCUGGUUUCUUGGGAUAAAGCUUUCAUAUGAAGCUGACUCUUCAGGCUUUCUCUGUAAGAUACCUAAUACAAAACAAAACCAAAAUCAAAUCUCCUACAAUCUUUCUGUGUGUGUGUGUAGCUCUGCAUUAAUUAAUAUUUUCAUUUCUGUUUAUCAGAAAUCCACAUGCAGUGAUUUUAAUGAUAAUUUUCUUUUGAGAAUACUUAGUGUGAGUUGCAUGGUCAGAAAAGUAGAUAAAGUUGCCUUUUAAAACAGAUAUUAAGAUAUCUGAUGAAAUUGCACAUUUGUGUAUUAUAACAAACCAGUGGGCAAGUGAAGACAUAAGAUAACCCAGAUGUUUUGAGGUUGUUUAAAUCUGUCCUUACCUUUACUCAGUGCUGUAGAAAUGUCAGAUAACAGUUUCUCCCAUUACAAGAAGGAAAGAAGUUCAGAGGAGCCAGAGUACUUGUAUUGUUUCUGUCUGGGUAAAAUUCACGUCUGUGGAGUUGAUCGACACAAAAAGACAUUGAGACAUCUGAAGAUGAUCACUGAGGACCUGCUUAAAUCUUUGAGCUUGAUCUCUGAACCCCCAAAUCCCCCAGAUUUAUACAGGCACUGGGGAAGUUCUGUGGUCAGUGCAAUCCUGGGGGCAAAGGAAAACAAUUUCUCCAAGUCCUUGUAAUGUGUUAACCUACUACACUGACUCUCUGGAUUUUAAUGCUGGAUUUCUCAUCUGAAAGAGAGAAUUUGAUCAAUUGAUCUCUACUCUGUCCAACUCUCUCAGACCAUUUGGGUACUGUAUUUCUGCUGUACAGUCCCCGUUCACUUUCUAUAGUCCAUCAGAUCCUACCACUUGGGCUUUUAUUUAUUUGUGGUCUAUCAACAUCAAUGAAGCCUUGACUGCUCCCAUCUUUCUCACAGCUGAUUUUUAGCACAUUUUCCUCACAAAAUUCAUUUAAAUCUCAGAAAUUCUUCUGCAUCCUGCCUCCUCUGACCCCAGAGGUUCUUAAUAGUUUCUUUAGAGAUAAAAUUAUCAAGCCUGUAAUAUGAUCUUAUUCCUCUCUUGCUUAUUUCAUUCAUUGCUUAUCCUUCAUUUCUCCUUUCU